AUUGAACGCUGGCGGCAGGCCUAACACAUGCAAGUCGAGCGGAUGAGUGGAGCUUGCUCCACGAUUCAGCGGCGGACGGGUGAGUAAUGCCUAGGAAUCUGCCUGGUAGUGGGGGACAACGUUUCGAAAGGAACGCUAAUACCGCAUACGUCCUACGGGAGAAAGCAGGGGACCUUCGGGCCUUGCGCUAUCAGAUGAGCCUAGGUCGGAUUAGCUAGUAGGUGAGGUAAUGGCUCGCCUAGGCGACGAUCCGUAACUGGUCUGAGAGGAUGAUCAGUCACACUGGAACUGAGACACGGUCCAGACUCCUACGGGAGGCAGCAGUGGGGAAUAUUGGACAAUGGGCGAAAGCCUGAUCCAGCCAUGCCGCGUGUGUGAAGAAGGUCUUCGGAUUGUAAAGCACUUUAAGUUGGGAGGAAGGGCAGUAAGUUAAUACCUUGCUGUUUUGACGUUACCGACAGAAUAAGCACCGGCUAACUCUGUGCCAGCCGCCGCCGUAAUAC
rnacentral:rRNA from 1 species